AUACAGAGGUGGCAAGCGUUGUUCGGAAUUACUGGGCGUAGAGGGCGCGUAGGCGGCCUUCUAAGUCGGACGUGAAAGCCCCAGGCUUAACCUGGGAACUGCGUCCGAUACUGGGAGGCUUGGAUUCGGGAGAGGGAUGUGGAAUUCCAGGUGUAGCGGUGAAAUGCGUAGAUAUCUGGAGGAACACCGGUGGCGAAGGCGGCAUCCUGGACCGAGAUCGACGCUGAGGCGCGAAAGCUAGGGGAGCAAACGGGAUUGGAUACCCCGGUAGUUCUAGCCCUAAACGAUGAGUGCCUGGUGUGGCGGGUAUCGAUCCCUGCCGUGCCGAAGCUAACGCAUUAAGCACUCCGCCUGGGGAGUACGGUCGCAAGGCUGAAACUCAAAUGAAUUGGCGGGG
rnacentral:rRNA from 1 species